CGAAGGGUGCUAGCGUUGUUCGGAAUCACUGGGCGUAAAGCGUGCGUAGGCGGCUUUGCAAGUCAGGGGUGAAAUCCCACAGCUCAACUGUGGAAUUGCCUCUGAAACUGCAUCGCUGGAGUGUCGGAGGGGAUAGCGGAAUUCCUAAUGUAGUGGUGAAAUACGUAGAUAUUAGGAGGAACACCGGUGGCGAAGGCGGCUAUCUGGACGACAACUGACGCUGAGGCAACGAAAGCGGUGGGGAUACAAACAGGAUUAGACUACCCUGGUAGUCCACGCUAGUAAACGAUGGAUGCUACGCCGUCGGGGGGUUACCUCUCGGUGGCGCAGCUAACGCGCUAAGCAUCCCGCCUGGGGAGUACGGUCGCAAGAUUA
rnacentral:rRNA from 1 species